GCAGAAAAAUCAGGUGUGAUUCUUUAUGCAUGCUUUUGGGGUAUCAUUGGUGCCAAAUAAAUCUAUCACUUCUACCAAACAAUAUUAACAAUCUUGAGUAUGUGUCAUAAAUAAAUAGGGGAAAUUACAAUAUAUUAACCCGUGGUUUGAUGCAUUUGUCAGGUAGGAUCUUGAAAUUAAGUUUGUGAUGAAAUGGUACCCUCUAGCUCUAAUAACAAAGAGGGAAAAUUACUUAGACACAGUCAAACAAGUUAGGCUAAUUACAAUUUAGUCCUUGAAGUUUAAUGAAACCGAUAGAUUAGCCCUUAUAUUUUUAAAAUCCAUCUAUUUAGCCAUUGACAUUUAAAUAAACCAACGUAUUGGUCUAUCCGUCUAAUUUUCCAUCUAAUUUAUCUUCAGUUAUACUAAAAAUACCA
rnacentral:misc_RNA from 1 species